CCUACGGGUGGCAGCAGUGAGGAAUAUUGGUCAAUGGACGAGAGUCUGAACCAGCCAAGUAGCGUGAAGGAUGACUGCCCUAUGGGUUGUAAACUUCUUUUAUAUGGGAAUAAAAUGUUCCACGUGUGGGAUUUUGUAUGUACCAUAUGAAUAAGGAUCGGCUAACUCCGUGCCAGCAGCCGCGGUAAUACGGAGGAUCCGAGCGUUAUCCGGAUUUAUUGGGUUUAAAGGGAGCGUAGGUGGAUUUUUAAGUCAGUUGUGAAAGUUUGCGGCUCAACCGUAAAAUGGCAGUUGAAACUGGCAGUCUUGAGUACAGUAGAGGUGGGCGGAAUUCGUGGUGUAGCGGUGAAAUGCUUAGAUAUCACGAAGAACUCCGAUUGCGAAGGCAGUUCACUGGACUGCAACUGACACUGAGGCUCGAAAGUGUGGGUAUCAAACAGGAUUAGAUACCCUGGUAGUC
rnacentral:rRNA from 1 species